rnacentral:rRNA from 1 species
UACGUAGGGGGCUAGCGUUGUCCGGAAUCAUUGGGCGUAAAGAGCGUGUAGGCGGCCCCGGUAAGUCCGCUGUAAAAGUCAAAGGCUCAACCUUUGAAUGUCAGUGGAUACUGCCGGGCUAGAGUGCGGAAGAGGCGAGUGGAAUUCCUGGUGUAGCGGUGAAAUGCUUAGAUAUCGUCAAGAACACCUAUUGCGAAGGCAGCUAACUAGCUUAACUGACGCUGAGGCACGAAAAGUGUGGGGAUCAAACAGG